AUACGUAGGUGGCAAGCGUUGUCCGGAUUUACUGGGUGUAAAGGGAGCGCAGGCGGGGAAGCAAGUCAGUUGUGAAAACUAUGGGCUUAACUCAUAGAUUGCAGUUGAAACUGUUUCUCUUGAGUGGAGUAGAGGUAAGCGGAAUUCCGAGUGUAACGGUGAAAUGUGUAGAGAUUCGGAGGAACACCAGUGGCGAAGGCGGCUUACUGGGCUCUAACUGACGCUGAGGCUCGAAAGUGUGGGGAGCAAACAGGAUUAGAUACCCUGGUAGUCCACACUGUAAACGAUGAUUACUAGGUGUGGGGGGUCUGACCCCCUCCGUGCCGCAGUUAACGCAAUAAGUAAUCCACCUGGGGAGUACGACCGCAAGGUUGAAACUCAAAUGAAUUGACGGGG
rnacentral:rRNA from 1 species